GACGUAGGGCGCGAGCGUUGUCCGGAUUUAUUGGGCGUAAAGAGCUCGUAGGCGGCUUGUCGCGUCGUCCGUGAAAACCUGCAGCUCAACUGCAGGCUUGCGGUCGAUACGGGCAGGCUGGAGUUCGGUAGGGGAGACUGGAAUUCCUGGUGUAGCGGUGAAAUGCGCAGAUAUCAGGAGGAACACCGGUGGCGAAGGCGGGUCUCUGGUACGUGACUGACGCUGAGACGCGAAAGCGUGGGGAGCGAACAGG
rnacentral:rRNA from 1 species